rnacentral:rRNA from 1 species
GUGGCACGAGUUGCCUAGAGAUCAAUUGGGGUGGUCUUGGGGACUGAGCUUUGUCCCAAUAAUACUUGGCAAUAUUAUGUGUGGUGCAAUAUGUUUUUGCCUAAUGGGUCUAAAUUUCUCACAGUAGGCUUGGCCGUUGUAACCUGGGCUAUAUGGUUGGCACGUAAUAGAGCUACCUUCGAGAAAAAGUUGAUUAAAUCUCCUUUUGAGAUUGUGUUCUCAGCAUGUUCUUUUCUCUUGUAUUGGGCAGGCCUUCAGACCAAGGAAGAAGCGGAGAAGCUACGCCAAGGUGCCGAGAUGAUUCGAUCAAGCACGACCAGACUGAUGGCGGUGUGCGAGGAGGCCAGGCGCACGGUGGAUGACGCUGGAGAAGUGCUGCCUUGGUGA